GUUGUGAAGCGCAAUGGAUAGCGCGUUGGUCUUUCAAUCCAAAGGUCGUGAGUUCGAAUCUCACCUGGGAUG